CCCUACAGUUAGACACACUAAUUUCGUAGGCUGUUUUCCAGAUAUUUUUCAAAAACAAAAAGACCUCAGCAUCUGCUGACAUCUGUGAAGACUGCUGGAGCUCAGCACCCAGAAAAUCCAAGUUUUGCAUUUCAGUGCUGACCAGUAACAUCAGAAAUGCUCCCCUCAGUACUGAAGGCCACAACUGGGUCAGUAGGUCACAGAGUGUCUUCUGGAGUGUUAUCACAGACAUGAAUGAGACAAGGAGGACAUGUGUCCUAGAUAGAUGAUUGUUCAUGCUUAGAUGGAUCAAACUGCAGCUAAAGGGUAUUUAGGGAAAAAGAGAGGGACUGAAACAGAUGAGUACUGAGCCUUUAACAAGCAGGCUUCAAACAACUCAGGACCUGCUCCAUAAAUGGGAUGACAGGUGGCAAAGGAAAUGGAAUACUGAGAGAUGUGAAACCAUUUCCAUUAGAAGCAAGAAUAAUCAUAUGUACCCAAAAUACUGAACUAGAAGAGGAUUCUGAGUUUCUGUUGCACAAUUAGAUUUAUUUACUCAGAAAAUGUCCAAAAUAUACAAAUGAAAAAUUAAAAAGACAU